GGGUUGUGAGGUUAAGCGACUAAGCGUACACGGUGGAUGCCCUGGCAGUCAGAGGCGAUGAAGGACGUGCUAAUCUGCGAUAAGCGUCGGUAAGGUGAUAUGAACCGUUAUAACCGGCGAUUUCCGAAUGGGGAAACCCAGUGUGAUUCGUCACACUAUCAUUAACUGAAUCCAUAGGUUAAUGAGGCGAACCGGGGGAACUGAAACAUCUAAGUACCCCGAGGAAAAGAAAUCAACCGAGAUUCCCCCAGUAGCGGCGAGCGAACGGGGAGCAGCCCAGAGCCUGAAUCAGUGUGUGUGUUAGUGGAAGCGUCUGGAAAGGCGCGCGAUACAGGGUGACAGCCCCGUACACAAAAAUGCACAUGCUGUGAGCUCGAUGAGUAGGGCGGGACACGUGGUAUCCUGUCUGAAUAUGGGGGGACCAUCCUCCAAGGCUAAAUACUCCUGACUGACCGAUAGUGAACCAGUACCGUGAGGGAAAGGCGAAAAGAACCCCGGCGAGGGGAGUGAAAAAGAACCUGAAACCGUGUACGUACAAGCAGUGGGAGCCUCUUAAUGGGGUGACUGCGUACCUUUUGUAUAAUGGGUCAGCGACUUAUAUUCUGUAGCAAGGUUAACCGAAUAGGGGAGCCGAAGGGAAACCGAGUCUUAACUGGGCGUUAAGUUGCAGGGUAUAGACCCGAAACCCGGUGAUCUAGCCAUGGGCAGGUUGAAGGUUGGGUAACACUAACUGGAGGACCGAACCGACUAAUGUUGAAAAAUUAGCGGAUGACUUGUGGCUGGGGGUGAAAGGCCAAUCAAACCGGGAGAUAGCUGGUUCUCCCCGAAAGCUAUUUAGGUAGCGCCUCGUGAAUUCAUCUCCGGGGGUAGAGCACUGUUUCGGCAAGGGGGUCAUCCCGACUUACCAACCCGAUGCAAACUGCGAAUACCGGAGAAUGUUAUCACGGGAGACACACGGCGGGUGCUAACGUCCGUCGUGAAGAGGGAAACAACCCAGACCGCCAGCUAAGGUCCCAAAGUCAUGGUUAAGUGGGAAACGAUGUGGGAAGGCCCAGACAGCCAGGAUGUUGGCUUAGAAGCAGCCAUCAUUUAAAGAAAGCGUAAUAGCUCACUGGUCGAGUCGGCCUGCGCGGAAGAUGUAACGGGGCUAAACCAUGCACCGAAGCUGCGGCAGCGACGCUAUGCGUUGUUGGGUAGGGGAGCGUUCUGUAAGCCUGCGAAGGUGUACUGUGAGGUAUGCUGGAGGUAUCAGAAGUGCGAAUGCUGACAUAAGUAACGAUAAAGCGGGUGAAAAGCCCGCUCGCCGGAAGACCAAGGGUUCCUGUCCAACGUUAAUCGGGGCAGGGUGAGUCGACCCCUAAGGCGAGGCCGAAAGGCGUAGUCGAUGGGAAACAGGUUAAUAUUCCUGUACUUGGUGUUACUGCGAAGGGGGGACGGAGAAGGCUAUGUUGGCCGGGCGACGGUUGUCCCGGUUUAAGCGUGUAGGCUGGUUUUCCAGGCAAAUCCGGAAAAUCAAGGCUGAGGCGUGAUGACGAGGCACUACGGUGCUGAAGCAACAAAUGCCCUGCUUCCAGGAAAAGCCUCUAAGCAUCAGGUAACAUCAAAUCGUACCCCAAACCGACACAGGUGGUCAGGUAGAGAAUACCAAGGCGCUUGAGAGAACUCGGGUGAAGGAACUAGGCAAAAUGGUGCCGUAACUUCGGGAGAAGGCACGCUGAUA
rnacentral:rRNA from 1 species